rnacentral:rRNA from 1 species
GAUGAACGCUGGCGGCGUACCUAAUACAUGCAAGUCGAGCGAACGGACGAGAAGCUUGCUUCUCUGAUGUUAGCGGCGGACGGGUGAGUAACACGUGGAUAACCUACCUAUAAGACUGGGAUAACUUCGGGAAACCGGAGCUAAUACCGGAUGAUAUUUUGAACCGCAUGGUUCAAAAGUGAAAGACGGUCUUGCUGUCACUUAUAGAUGGAUCCGCGCUGCAUUAGCUAGUUGGUAAGGUAACGGCUUACCAAGGCAACGAUGCAUAGCCGACCUGAGAGGGUGAUCGGCCACACUGGAACUGAGACACGGUCCAGACUCCUACGGGAGGCAGCAGUAGGGAAUCUUCCGCAAAGGGCGAAAGCCUGACGGAGCAACGCCGCGUGAGUGAUGAAGGUCUUCGGAUCGUAAAACUCUGUUAUUAGGGAAGAACAUAUGUGUAAGUAACUGUGCACAUCUUGACGGUACCUAAUCAGAAAGCCACGGCUAACUACGUG